AAAAAGACAAACCCUGGAUUUCCGUGUCCAACUUUGACUGUCUGUCUUAUAUGAAAUAUUUUUAUAAUCCGUAUUUUCGUUGUUGUUAGAUGAUAAAAUAUGAUUAAUAUUUUUAUGCGUGACUUGUCUUUUUAAUUUUUUCAUAAUUUUUUCAAAUAAGACAGACGGUUAAACAUUUGGCAUGGAAACCAAGGUUUGUCUUUUUU
rfam:Oryza rufipogon genomic scaffold, chr11